rnacentral:rRNA from 1 species
AACGAACGCUGGCGGCAUGCCUAACACAUGCAAGUCGAACGAGACCUUCGGGUCUAGUGGCGCACGGGUGCGUAACGCGUGGGAACCUGCCCUUAGGUUCGGAAUAACUCCCCGAAAGGGGUGCUAAUACCGGAUAAUGUCUUCGGACCAAAGAGUUAUCGCCUUUGGAUGGGCCCGCGUUGGAUUAGCUAGUUGGUAGGGUAAAAGCCUACCAAGGCGACGAUCCAUAGCUGGUCUGAGAGGAUGAUCAGCCACACCGGGACUGAGACACGGCCCAGACUCCUACGGGAAGCAGCAGUGGGGAAUAGUGGACAAUGGGCGAAAGCCUGAUCCAGCAAUGCCGCGUGAGUGAUGAAGGCCUUAGGGUUGUAAAGCUCUUUUACCCGGGAUGAUAAUGACAGUACCGGGAGAAUAAGCUCCGGCUAACUCCGUG